GACGAACGCUGGCGGCGUGCUUAACACAUGCAAGUCGAACGGAAAGGCCUCUUUCGGGGGGUACUCGAGUGGCGAACGGGUGAGUAACACGUGAGUAACCUGCCCUUGACUUUGGGAUAACUUCAGGAAACUGGGGCUAAUACCGGAUAGGAGCUCCUGCUGCAUGGUGGGGGUUGGAAAGUUUCGGCGGUUGGGGAUGGACUCGCGGCUUAUCAGCUUGUUGGUGGGGUAGUGGCUUACCAAGGCUUUGACGGGUAGCCGGCCUGAGAGGGUGACCGGCCACAUUGGGACUGAGGUACGGCCCAGGCUCCUACGGGAGGCAGCAGUGGGGAAUAUUGCACAAUGGGUGGAAGCCUGAUGCAGCAACGCCGUGGGCGGGAUGGCGGCCUUCGGGUUGUAAACCGCUUUCGCUCAUGACGAAGCUUUGUGUGACAGUAGUGGGUAAAGAAGCACCGGCUAACUACGUG
rnacentral:rRNA from 1 species